AGAGAUAGUGCUUGGGGAGGCAGGAAUGCUGGUCUUCUAAGAGCAUGCUGGGCUUUUUCUCUUUCCUUCCUAAAGCCAGUGGCCUGCUCACCGCCCUUCUUUCUGAGCAGCUCUCUCAAGGCCAGGCUAAGGACAAGGCAUAGAUGUGGAGCUGAAAGGUUAAGCUCCCUACCCUCCACCCCUGCUGGUCUCCAGAAGGGGACAAUUGGAAUUCAAAUAUCCAGUGUCAUGAAGCCAAGGAGAGAGGUGGCAUAGGAGUCUAUAAAGCCAGCCCACUAGCUUCUCUCUCCUGGGAACUCCCUGGUUUAUGAGCUGCCAACCCGAGCUUCAUGGGUGAAAAAAGCACCCAGACUUCCAGAAAAUUGUCUGAGAAUGACAGCCUUCCAGCUCUGCCUUCAGUCUCCAUCCCCCAUGUCCUGCAUCCUGGAUCUAGCAACAAUAUUCUGAUGCACACCAUCUCUUUUCUUUGGCUUCUCUCCCUCCAUGACACAAAGGCCAGAGUAUGAUAGCCUGCCUAGAAAUCAAGACCAUGAUAACUAAUUAAAGUCAUAGACUUCCAGACUGUUAAAUCUUAGUGUGGCAUUAGACAUGAUCUAAUCUAACAUCCCCAUUUUAUAGACGGGGAAACUAAGGCCCAGAGAGAAAG
rnacentral:lncRNA from 10 species